rnacentral:lncRNA from 1 species
CUGCCAUCACAUUAAUUCAGAUGAGAGUGAUAGAUGGAUCCCUCUUCCUAUCAUGUGGGCCUUCGUCCCAGCCUCUAAGGCAUGGAGGUGACCCUGGAUUUUACAAAGCUGUAAGUCAAGCACAAGGUCAGGUGGGUUUGACGAGGCAGGAAGGGUUCUGAGUGCAGGUUGGGGACGGGCUGUGUGCCGGCCAUCCAUAGCCGCGCAUCAUCCACUCUGAUCAGGUGCCAGGCCUGGAAUCGCCGAGAUUCCUCUUUAUGAAUUCAAAUCCAGCCUUACUUAGACACUUACUAGCUGUGUGACCUUGGGAAGGUCACUUCGCCCUGUUGGCCUCAGUUUCCUCAUCUGUAAAAUGAGCUGAAGAAGGAAAUGGGAAGCCACGCCAGCAUCUUUACCAAGAAAACCUGAAAUAAGGUUGUGAAGAGUCCGCCACGCAUGAAACAGCUGGACCACAAAAAUAAUAGAUUCACAAAGAAAGUCAGGAGCGUCCAGCCUAUGCCAGCCUCUGGGGACAGGAAGACCUACGUGGGAGGGCUCUUUCCAUCGGCUUUCGAGGCCUGUUUCCAGCUCAAGAUGGAGGAGGCAGAUUGUGAGCUCCAUCAAGGGGCGGCCCAGAUGGACACUAGAUGGCAGCCACUACCUGGGUUUUGCUCCUGUCUACCUCCCUGGCCUGUCACAACCAAGAACCUUCCCAUUUUCCUUCCUGAUUCUCUUUGCUUCCUUAAAUGUGGGAGGCCAGGGAGAGGCCUCAGAAGCCUGGAAAGUGGCCUCCCCUGGACGUGCUGAGGAGAGAUUUCUGAAAGUUUCCUCUGAGGCCGCCAAGAAACGUGCCCAUUAUUGGGCACCCUCGGAGCAUCUUUAGGGAUCUUUCCUGUCCCCAGCCUUCGCCCCAGCAGAGCAGACUUACCCGUCUUAGCCCGCAUGGAAGAACAACUCGAUUUGUCUCUACUGCUUUGCCAGGUCUCCAGCGUGUGGGAAGUGACAAGGUACAAUGAGAGUGGGAAGGGUUUGGAUUCGAAUUCCCGGGCAGAUGCCCCAACUCCCCAGGAAAAGGAUGCAAAAUCAAAGGCUGAAGCAGGAAAACGAACCUUGUCACCCAUAAUCCCCCAUCGCUCCAUUUCCCACUGCCCGCCUUCAUGCCUUUGCAGAGAUGGUCUCCCGUGCCCAGCACGCUCUCCUUACUCCCCUUCACUUCUGAGAUGGAACGGAUCCUUCCUUUCCUUCAGCGUUCAGCCGGAGAGCCGGAGAAGGCAAUGGCAAACCCCUGCAGGAUCUUUGUGGAGAAACGGGUCGGGAAGAGUCAGACGCAACUGGACGGCGACCCCCUCCUCCAGGAAGUCUUCCUUCAAAUGCCUCCCCCAACAGAAUGCUGCCCUCUUGCCUUUCUCUCUCUGUUGCCUAACGCAGUUUCUAGAAGCUGAAGAAACGCUGGUCCAGGGACAGCUGUGCGACCCCAGAAAAGCUGCACCAGCCCCCAUUUCCUCACCUGCAUAAGGAGGAUAAUAAGACCCUCAGAACCCCAGCUAUGGGGCUGCUGUGAGGUGUGUGUGUGUGUGUGUGUGUGUGUGUGUGUGUGUGUGUGCGUGUGUGUGUGCGACACACUUGUCAAUCUGAAUUCCACACUGAAAAAGGGAUUUGGUGGAGGAGCAGGAAGAGAGUCCGGCCCGAAAGUGCAGUGACCCGACCGGUGUUCAGCUCCCAGCUCUGUUGCUAUUCGUUGGGAUUAUUUGGGGCGUCUUUUCCUUUUCAAGCCUCCGCUUCCCCUUCUGUAAGGGAGGCUUGGGCUGGAAGGCCCCUCUCAAUCUGGGCUCCUCAGCGCCGGCCCGCAGUAACCCCGGGACCUGAGCCCAGUCACUCAGCCGCUCUGGGUGCCAUUUUCCUUAUCUCUGAAAGGACGGGGUAGGGCUGGCCCUUCCCUUCCCAUUCUAAGUCUGGGGCCCUCCAGACCGCUCUUCCCUUUGUUCUUCCUGUCAACCGCCAAUGGGUCUAGGCGGCUUUUGUGGCAGAGCCGGAGGGUCGUCCAAGGUUCAAGCAACGGGCGCCAUGCGGCUUCCCUGGAAGCGUGAGCGCCGCCACACGGUGGCUCCCUUUCGAUGGGACGAGGACCCUUUACCCAAACUAGGGGCAAAUGAGUGAGUCCGUAAAGAUUGAUGUAGCACCAUCUAGGGCCCAAGGGUUGUGCCAAGGUGGGGGAAUAGGAAGCAAGACCAAAGGCAGCCCCUGGCCUCAAGGAACUCGCACGACAAUGGGAGAAACGACAUGGAAAUACCUGGGUACAAAGAAGAUCGAGACAGGAAAAAGUGCAAACCGCCUCAGAGAGAAGACGCUGGGAUGAAGGAAGAUUGGGAAAGGUUUCCUCUUUUCUCAAAAAAUGUGAAUUCUGGGGGCAGCUGGGUAGCUCAGUGGAUUGAGAGCCAGGCCUAGAGAAGGGAGGUCCUAGGUUCAAAUCUGACCUCAGACACUUCUCAGCUGGGUGACCCUGGGCAAAGUCACU